CCUACGGGACGCUGCAGUGAGGAAUCUUGGUCAAUGGACGAGAGUCUGAACCAGCCAAGUAGCGUGAAGGAUGACUGCCCUCUGGGUUGUAAACUUCUUUUAUAUGGGAAUAAAAUGUUCCACGUGUGGGUUUUUGUAUGUACCAUAUGAAUAAGGAUCGGCUAACUCCGUUCCAGCAGCCGCGGUACUACGGAGGAUCAGAGCGUUAUCCGGAUUUAUUGGGUUUAAAGUGAGCGUAGGUGGUUUGUUAAGUCAGUUGUGAAAGUUUGCGGCUCAACCGUAAAAUUGCAGUUGAUACUGGCAGUCUUGAGUACAGUAGAGGUGGGCGGAAUUCGUGGUGUAGCGGUGAAAUGCUUAGAUAUCACGAAGAACUCCGAUUGCGAAGGCAGCUCACUGGACUGCAACUGACACUGAGGCUCGAAAGUGUGGGUAUCAAACAGGAUUAGAUACCCCGGUAGUC
rnacentral:rRNA from 1 species